GAUGUGGCAGGGCCUCAGCAGAUAUCAGAGGCAGCUUGAAAGUGAGUGGCACAGAAAGCCUGCUCAGGUCUGGUUCCAGAUUUCCCCUCAGGCCGGCCCAGGCUCCAUCGAGGCUUAAUUCUGCUUCAGGACCUCAUUGAUCCAGGGCCGGUAGUGGGAGAUCCGGGUGAAGACAGCAGGGGGCUUUGCAUUCUUCCGUCCAUAGGAGAUGAUGCCCUGAGCCACCCCAGCACACAGAAGAGGGCCCCCUGAAUCUCCCUGUGGGGCAGAGAGAGAGAGCGAGAGAGAGAGAGAGAGAGAACACAGAAGGUGAGCUGGGAAGUCAUCUACUCCCAGUGAGACCUGGGGUCAGACCCAGCAGCCCUGGUUCCUCAUGGGGUUAUACAUUUUGGUGUGAUGCCCCUUUUCUGUUUCCUUCUGGCCACCUCAUGUGCCCUGUGCAGCAGCCUGGGAGGGGUGCCCAGAGAUUGCAUGGGGCCGUGGGUGGGGGAGGAGCAGGGAAUGGAUCUGCAGAGGGGUGAUUCCAGUUCCUUAGGCCCAUGAUCUGAAAGCCUGUCGCUGGCUGACAACCUUCCCACCCCAUCUCCUUUCACAAGACGUCUGGACCCCGAACAGUGACUUGUAGAAAAGAACCCUCGUCCGAGGAUCACCUCAAAUGCAGAUUUUGUCUUCCUGGGAUUGCCAACACACAAUUGGAAGUUGUGGUCGAAAGUUCUGUAGUGUCUGCAGGCUUGGGGAUUCAUGAGCCUCUGCUUCACCUCUCGCAGAGUAUCAGAGCCUGGUUCAUUCACUUGUGUUCUUCCCCAGCCAGCCACCCGGCACAUUCUCCCGGGUGGGAUGACGUUGAACUGGGGCGGAAGGGGGAGCGUCCCCACGGCCAGGGUCAGGUUAGCUUUCUCCUUCAACUGUGGAGGGCAUGAGGGGCUGUCAGUGCUAGAAAUGGGUGACAGGGCAGUUGGAGGAAAUCAGGGAAGGACAGGGCAAACUGUUUUGCAUUAGAACUACAUCCGGUGGCACGAGUCAGUGGGGUUGGAGUCCAGAGGCAGGUUGUGGACAUUUUAGGGCAAUGGAGACCUGAAGGAGAAAACUAAGAGAACAGAAAGUGGGAAAUGUGGAGAAAGAAGUUAUUACCUUCAGUAACAUGAUGUCAUGGAGAAAAGCACUGUCAUCAUAUUUUGGGUGAGGAAAUUGUUUUAUGACCUCAAGCUUCUGCCAUGUAUCUUCUUUCUUUUGUAUGUUAUGGGCUCCAAGUGUGACCAUUAUAGACCUAUUGUGAGGGAGAAGGAAGGACCAGGAGAAACUGUGAUGGUCUCAGGUUUCUCCUGCGAUGUUCCCAUUCUGAGAAAAGAGGACUAGAGUCUAUCACAGGGGUCACUGGACUCUAAUCACCCCUCUUUCUCUGGACCACUUGUAGCAUUUGGGGUGGGGGCUCAUAUUUUACUCAGGGAAUAGCUUUCUCAGGGAACAUGGACAAUUUCCAGGACCCUCAGGAAUUCCUGGAGACUGAGUAGGCCAUGGAGAACCCAGGGGACAGGAUUAGCACUUCCUAAUUUAGGGAGCCCUGUGUGAGGGCCAGAGAUAUCAGAGGAAAGGGGGAGUUGAGGUGGUGGGAUCCCUGGUGGACCCUGUUGUCUGCCUCCCCUGGAAAGAUGGCUCAAGUCCCUGAGAAUUAAAGGCCAGUGUUCUUGGAAAGGGCAUAGAGGAAGUGGCCUAGAAAACUGGGUGGGGUUGGGAGAGGGAAGCUACUUUUAGAGGAGGGACUUUUGGAUAGGGCCUCCUUUUCCUCUCUGUAGGGGAGCCGAGCUCACAGUGAUUGAAGAUCAGGGCAUCUCAUCAAUUAUGGGACCAAGUUCCAUAAGUUCAAGUCUUGCCUGUCCCAGCCCCAGGAGCCUCCCCUCAGACCGCCAAAGGGUACGUCCUUGGCUGCCACCCUAGCUGUUAAUCUCCAGAAGGGAGAUAAAUGGGACCCUGCUGUGUCACCUUCCUGCACAGUGAGCAGCCGUCAGCACAAAGUUCCGUCUUAUCAGGAAACCACCGCAAAAUAACAGUCUAUUCUGGAGAGUGACAAUUUCCAGGUGGGCCAUGUACGGGCGGGAGUGUGGCUUGCACUCUGUGCCCCCGAUGAUCUCUCCUGGAACAGAGAUCCCCAGGGCUUGAACACAGAGAAUGCAUAGGCUGAGCUAAAGUUGAGAGGGGCUUCUCUCUAAUCUCAUCCUCACUGUGUACUCUGCCUGUUGCCCCCUCAGGAGGCUCGGGUAUCUGGUGUCCCCACCCACAACCUCUCACAUAAAUUCUCACUCCUUCUUCCAGGGACAACAGCCAGUCUGGGCUCAGAUGCCAUUCAGGCAUUUUUCACCUCGGAUUUCCCCCACUGCCAUUGUGCCUGGGACCUCAACGCUCCUCUUCCACUGGGCAGGGCCAGUUCUCCAGGUCCUGGUCUCAACCUGCUCCAAACCUUGAGGGCAGUGUCAGAGAAUGGCCACAUUACGAGAACAGAGGCAAAUCUGGACCUGGAGAAGUCUUGUCCUUUGGCCCUGCACCAGUUGGACCCAAAAUCCGAGAGAGGGCUGAUGGUCUGGUGGAGGAGACAGAAACAGCAGUGAUCAGGAUCCAGUCUGGUAAGCGCCAUGGUAGAGUGAUACACAAGACGGUAAGAGAGCAUGACUAUUACCUACUAAAUCCAUACAGUAACCCAUUCAUCAUCACACCUUCUUUCUUAGGGAUUUUUAGCAUCUG